rnacentral:rRNA from 1 species
UACGUAGGGUGCGAGCGUUAAUCGGAAUUACUGGGCGUAAAGCGUGCGCAGGCGGUUCGUUGUGUCGGCGGUGAAAGCCCCGGGCUUAACCUGGGAAUGGCCGUUGAAACUGGCGAACUGGAGUGUGGCAGAGGGGGGUGGAAUUCCGCGUGUAGCAGUGAAAUGCGUAGAGAUGCGGAGGAACACCGAUGGCGAAGGCGGUGAGCUGGGCAAUUGCUGACACUGAGGCGCGACAGCGUGGGGAGCAAACAGG